rnacentral:lncRNA from 1 species
AGAUCGCAGUCUGCUACGUUGUGAGAUACCACCGAGAUGGUGCAUUACGCUGCAAAGGCAGUGGCUGCAGCAGUCAGAGGGGAGUGCUAGGAGAGGGGAAUGGCUUUAGAGGCUCUGCUUUGAUUAGCGGCAGGGUUUAAUUGCAAUCAGCUGAUAUGGUGCCGGCUGCAAGUUGGCCUGGUCUAGGGAAAACAGCCAGCAUCAUGUCAGCUAACUCAGCGCUGCACACAUGACCACAUCCCUAAUGAAGACUAGCACUUUGGUGGACAUCUGUCAUGAAAUUCUCCAUCAUUCUCUCCUGCUUUUUGCAUGCUGCGUUAGACAAAAUCAUUAUAAAUGGAGCAGCGAUCAAGCAGCCCUACAGAUUACUGGGGGUAGUUGUUCACCUUGUUCCUCGUCUUCUCAGAAAGUGACGCUUCACUAG